UACGUAGGGUGCGAGCGUUGUCCGGAAUUACUGGGCGUAAAGCGUGCGCAGGCGGUUCGUUGUGUCGGUGGUGAAAGCCCCGGGCUUAACCUGGGAAUGGCCAUGGAAACUGGCGAACUGGAGUGUGGCAGAGGGGGGUGGAAUUCCGCGUGUAGCAGUGAAAUGCGUAGAGAUGCGGAGGAACACCGAUGGCGAAGGCAGCCCCCUGGGCUAGCACUGACGCUCAGGCACGAAAGCGUGGGGAGCAAACAGG
rnacentral:rRNA from 1 species